UAUUACAAUGUUUCCGCCACGUUUCAGU
rnacentral:sRNA from 1 species